rnacentral:rRNA from 1 species
AAAUUGAAGAGUUUGAUCAUGGCUCAGAUUGAACGCUGGCGGCAGGCCUAACACAUGCAAGUCGAACGGUAACAGGAAGCAGCUUGCUGUUUUGCUGACGAGUGGCGGACGGGUGAGUAAUGUCUGGGAAACUGCCUGAUGGAGGGGGAUAACUACUGGAAACGGUAGCUAAUACCGCAUAACGUCGCAAGACCAAAGAGGGGGACCUUCGGGCCUCUUGCCAUCGGAUGUGCCCAGAUGGGAUUAGCUAGUAGGUGGGGUAACGGCUCACCUAGGCGACGAUCCCUAGCUGGUCUGAGAGGAUGACCAGCCACACUGGAACUGAGACACGGUCCAGACUCCUACGGGAGGCAGCAGUGGGGAAUAUUGCACAAUGGGCGCAAGCCUGAUGCAGCCAUGC